GAGGGUAUAGCUCAGUGGUAGAGCAUGUGCUUAGCAUGCAUGAGGUCCUGGGUUCAAUCCCCAAUAUCUCCG
rnacentral:tRNA from 1 species